rnacentral:rRNA from 1 species
UACGUAGGGGGCAAGCGUUAUCCGGAAUUACUGGGUGUAAAGGGAGCGUAGACGGUAAUGUAAGUCUGGAGUGAAAGGCGGGGGCCCAACCCCCGGACUGCUCUGGAAACUAUGUUACUAGAGUGCAGGAGAGGUAAGCGGAAUUCCUAGUGUAGCGGUGAAAUGCGUAGAUAUUAGGAGGAACACCAGUGGCGAAGGCGGCUUACUGGACUGUAACUGACACUGAGGCUCGAAAGUGUGGGGAGCAAACAGG